rnacentral:rRNA from 1 species
GCUCGUAGUUGGAUUUGUGGUGGCUCCUGAGGUCCAAAUUUUGGUACUAUCGGGCGCCGCCAUCCUUGGGUGGAACCUGUGUGGCAUUAGGUUGUCGUGCAGGGGAUGCCCAUCUUUUACUGUGAAAAAAUUAGAGUGUUCAAAGCAGGCUUACGCCGUUGAAUAUAUUAGCAUGGAAUAACAUUAUACGACUUUGGAUCUAUUUUGUUGGUUUGCGCUCCGAAGUAAUGAUUAACAGGGACAGUUGGGGGUAUUCAUAUUCCAUUGUCAGAGGUGAAAUUCUUGGAUUUCUGGAAGAUGAACUACUGCGAAAGCAUUUACCAAGGAUGUUUUCAUUAAUCAAGAACGAAAGUUAGGGGAUCGAAGAUGAUU